rnacentral:rRNA from 1 species
GAUGAACGCUGGCGGCGUGCCUAAUACAUGCAAGUCGAGCGCACGGACGAGAAGCUUGCUUCUCUGAUGUUAGCGGCGGACGGGUGAGUAACACGUGGAUAACCUACCUAUAAGACUGGGAUAACUUCGGGAAACCGGAGCUAAUACCGGAUAAUAUUUUGAACCGCAUGGUUCAAAAGUGAAAGACGGUCUUGCUGUCACUUAUAGAUGGAUCCGCGUGGCAUUGGCUAGUUGGUAAGGUAACGGCUUACCAAGGCAACGAUGCAUAGCCGACCUGAGAGGGUGGUCGGCCACCCUGGAGCUGGAACACGGUCCAGACUCCUACGGGAGGCAGCAGUAGGGAAUCUGCCGCAAUGGGCGAAAACCUGGCGGAGCAGCGCCGCGUGAGUGAUGAAGAUCUUCGGAUCGUAAAACUCUGUUAUUAGGGGAGAACAUAUGUGUAAGUAACUGUGCACAUCUUGACGGUACCUAAUCAGAAAGCCACGGCUAACUACGUG